GAUGAACGCUGGCGGCGUGCCUAAUACAUGCAAGUCGAGCGAACAGACGAGGAGCUUGCUCCUCUGACGUUAGCGGCGGACGGGUGAGUAACACGUGGAUAACCUACCUAUAAGACUGGGAUAACUUCGGGAAACCGGAGCUAAUACCGGAUAAUAUAUUGAACCGCAUGGUUCAAUAGUGAAAGACGGUUUUGCUGUCACUUAUGGAUGGAUCCGCGCCGCAUGAGCUAGUUGGUAAGGUAACGGCUUACCAAGGCAACGAUGCGUAGCCGACCUGAGAGGGUGAACGGCCACACUGGAACUGAGACACGGUCCAGACUCCUACGGGAGGCAGCAGUAGGGAAUCUUCCGCAAUGGGCGAAAGCCUGACGGAGCAACGCCGCGUGAGUGAUGAAGGUCUUCGGAUCGUAAAACUCUGUUAUUAGGGAAGAACAAAUGUGUAAGUAACUAUGCACGUCUUGACGGUACCUAAUCAGAAAGCCACGGCUAACUACGUG
rnacentral:rRNA from 1 species